rnacentral:rRNA from 1 species
UCGUGGAGUGAUCUGUCUGGUUUAUUCCGAUAACGAGCGAGACUCCAGCCUGCUAAAUAGCCGCCUCAUUCUCGUGUGCGCGGCUUCUUAGAGGGAUCUACGGCGUCAGCCGGAAGAGACGGAGCGAUAACA